rnacentral:rRNA from 1 species
GCACCUGGUGGCGAGUGGCGAACGGGUGAGUAAAGCAUCGGAACGUGCCCAACUGUGGGGGAGAACGCACCGAAAGGUGUGCUAAUACCGCAUAAGCCCUGAGGGGGAAAGCAGGGGAUCUUAGGACCUUGCGCGGAUGGAGCGGCUGAUGUCGGAUUAGCUAGUUGGUGAGGUAAAGGCUCACCAAGGCGACGAUCCGUAGCUGGUCUGAGAGGAUGAUCAGCCACACUGGAACUGAGAGACGGUCCAGACUCCUACGGGAGGCAGCAGUGGGGAAUUUUGGACAAUGGGGGCAACCCUGAUCCAGCCAUGCCGCGUGAGUGAAGAAGGCCUUCGGGUUGUAAAGCUCUUUCGGCCGGGAAGAAAUCGUGCAGUCUAAUACACUGUAUGGAUGACGGUACCGGAAUAAGAAGCACCGGCUAACUACGUGCCAGCAGCCGCGGUAAUACGUAGGGUGCGAGCGUUAAUCGGAAUUACUGGGCGUAAAGCGUGCGCAGGCGGUUUUGUAAGACAGGCGUGAAAUCCCCGGGCUCAACCUGGGAAUGGCGCU